rnacentral:rRNA from 5 species
ACGGCAGCACAGUAAGAGCUUGCUCUUACGGGUGGCGAGUGGCGGACGGGUGAGGAAUGCAUCGGAAUCUACUCUGUCGUGGGGGAUAACGUAGGGAAACUUACGCUAAUACCGCAUACGACCUACGGGUGAAAGCAGGGGAUCUUCGGACCUUGCGCGAUUGAAUGAGCCGAUGCCCGAUUAGCUAGUUGGCGGGGUAAGAGCCCACCAAGGCGACGAUCGGUAGCUGGUCUGAGAGGAUGAUCAGCCACACUGGAACUGAGACACGGUCCAGACUCCUACGGGAGGCAGCAGUGGGGAAUAUUGGACAAUGGGCGCAAGCCUGAUCCAGCCAUACCGCGUGGGUGAAGAAGGCCUUCGGGUUGUAAAGCCCUUUUGUUGGGAAAGAAAAGCAGUCGGUUAAUACCCGAUUGUUCUGACGGUACCCAAAGAAUAAGCACCGGCUAACUUCGUGCCAGCAGCCGCGGUAAUACGAAGGGUGCAAGCGUUACUCGGAAUUA